rnacentral:rRNA from 1 species
UACCAGCACCCCGAGUGGUCGGGACGAUUAUUGGGCCUAAAGCAUCCGUAGCCGGUUCUGCAAGUCCCCCGUUAAAUCCAGCUGCUCAACAGAUGGGCCGCGGAGGAUACUACAGAGCUAGGAGGCAGGAGAGGCAAGCGGUACUCAGUGGGUAGGGGUAAAAUCCGUUGAUCCAUUGAAGACCACCAGUGGCGAAGGCGGCUUGCCAGAAUGCGCUCGACGGUGAGGGAUGAAAGCUGGGGAGCAAACCGG